GUUCCAUGAUGAUGCCCCCAUGCGUGUCAUCUGACCCCCCCAUUCCCGCCCUCCGGCCCGCGUUCUGCUGGGCAGGGGGGAGAGGAAUGCCCUCCCCCCCCCUGGGGGGGAGAGAGCCAAGGGGAAAGUGAUCAUACCUGGAUAAC
rnacentral:snoRNA from 1 species